rnacentral:rRNA from 1 species
UGAGCAAUCUGCCCUUCUCAUCGGAAUAAGCGUUGGAAACGACGUCUAAUGCCGAAUACUACCUCCUUUCGCAUGAUCGGAGGUGGAAAGCUCCGGCGGAGAAGGAUGAGCUCGCGGCCUAUCAGCUAGUUGGUGUGGGUAAUGGCCCACAAGGCGACGGACGGGUAGCCCGGCCUGGAGGAGGGUGACCGGCCACACGUGGGACUGAGACACGGCCCAGACCUCCGUACGGGGAGCAG